GUGUUUUGGACCUCAAGUGACACACUUGAAUAGAUCGUUGACCUAAAAAUGCAUUUUCGAAGUUCAUGGACCUAAACAGAAUAUGUCGACUAGUUUAAGAACCCCAGUGCUACUCAGAAGAAAAUAUUGGUUGAAGGUGGUCAAGCUACCAUGUUAGACAUAGACUUUGGUACCUAUCCAUUUGUUACAUCCUCAAGCCCCUCAGCAGGUGGAAUUUGCACUGGGCUUGGUAUUUCUCCUAGAAGUCUCGGUGAUAUCAUUAGAGUGGUAAAAGCAUACACGACUAGGGUUGGAUCUGGUCCUUUCCCAACAGAACUUUUGGGUAAGACUGGCGACCUGCUCCGUGCAUCUGGAAUGGAAUUCGGGACCACAACAGGUCGGCCCAGGCGUUGUGGCUGGCUUGACAUAGUUGCACUGAAAUACUGUUGCCAAAUCAAUGGCUUCUCAUCUUUGAAUCUCAAAAAAUAGUUGUGUUAACUGGACUCAAGGAAAUUAAGCUCGGUAUCUCAUACUACACCAAUGAUGGUAACACAGUCCAAUAAUUUCCAGCAGACCUUGAUCUUUUGGAGCAAAUAAAGGUCAAAUACGAGGCCCUACCUGGAUGGGAGGAAGAUAUUU